rnacentral:rRNA from 1 species
CCCUUAGAUGUUCUGGGCCGCACGCGCGCUACACUGAUCAGUGCAACAAGCAUCCGUCCUUGGCCGACAGGCCCGGGCAAUCUUUGAACGCUGAUCGUGAUGGGGAUAGACUUUUGCAAUUUUUGGUCUUCAACGAGGAAUUCCUAGUAAACGCAAGUCAUCAACUUGCAUUGAUUACGUCCCUGCCCUUUGUACACACCGCCCGUCGCACCUACCGAUUGAAUGGUCCGGUGAAGCCUCCGGAUUGGCGUGCACCCUCGGGUGCUGCCGAGAAGUUGGCUAAACCUUACCAUUUAGAGGAAGGUGAGGUCGUAACA